UCGAACUGGUAUUUUUCUAGAAAGAGAAUUUGUCUCUAAAGGAAACAGUGGGAGGAAAGUAGAACUCGAAGAAAUUCGAGAACCACAAAAUAUCAUUGAACCUGAGUUAGAACGUGAGUAGGAACCACAAGAUAUUGUGGAAAGUGAACCUGCUCAAAUUACACAAGGCAUUCGUAGAUCUGGUAGGACACGUCAAGAUCCCGAGAGAUAUUAUGGAUAUCUUGUG
rnacentral:lncRNA from 1 species